CCGCCAGAGCACUACGAGCAAUAGCUUAAAACUCAAAGGACUUGGCGGUGCUCCACACCCACCUAGAGGAGCCUGUUCUAUAAUCGAUACUCCCCGAUUCACCUCACCAUCUUUUGCUAUUCCCGCCUAUAUACCACCGUCGUCAGCUUACCCUUUAAAGGAAAAAUAGUAAGCAUAAUGGCACACGCCAAAACGUCAGGUCAAGGUGUAGCGUAUAAGAUGGGUAGAAAUGGGCUACAUUUUCUUAAUUAAGAAAACUACGAAAGAUCUUAUGAAAUUAGGAUCCAAAGGUGGAUUUAGCAGUAAAAAGAAACAAGAGCGUUCUAUUUAAUUAGGCCCUGGAGCGCGC
rnacentral:rRNA from 1 species